rnacentral:lncRNA from 1 species
UAUUAAAAUUUUCUUUUCUUUGCUCUUGCAGAAAAUAAUAAAUUAUUACCCUUUGAUAUGGGAAGAAAAAUAAUUGAGAAAAGCUAGGUCUUCAUUCCCUUGCCAGUUGAUCUCCUAAUAUUCAGAAGCUGUUUAUAUAAAUGAGAUAUUUGCUUUUUAAGCUUUAUUUACAGAUUUUGCCAGAUGAGCAUGUAGCCUGUGAACUAUAAUUGUGGAUUUCCAGCUGUUACCAGAAAUCUUGGUAUGCAGUUUGGGAGCCUGCAGCAUGUUUAUGAAUCAGCUACUGAUUUUCUGGGUCCAGAAACUGGGCACAGGUUUAUCUGGAUGCCUUCACCUCAAGGUCUCUCACAAGCCACUGGGCUUCAAGUCUUAAAUGUUUAACCGAAGAAAGAGCCACUUCCAAGCUCAACUUGAGGCAUGGGUUGCCAGAAUAGGAGAAAAGGAAGCAGAAAUCACUAUAAAGAAGCGCAGAGGCUGGAGAAAGAUCAGUGCAUUCAGGGAAACCUAUUUGUUCCUUGGAAGUCUUAGUCCUUUUCAAAGGUCCAUCGGCUCAUUUCUGGGGACUUGAGAAUAGAAUCUCAUCUCUGCACUACCAAUAGCGCGGACUUCUUUUUUUCAAAUAAACAAGAUUACAAGAUUCUAAAUUUACUAAAAUCUUUCAUGACAUGUAAACCUCUUCAGUUCGGGGUUUUGUUAUUGACAAUGAACAAUUCAGUCUCCAAAGUAUUUUUAAAGUAUGUUUUGUUGGAACAAGCUGUGUGGUUUUCCUUUCAUCUGUCUUUGUUGUGUCAGAAGAUUUUCAUUCAGAAUGAAUCUUCCUUUUGUCUGAUUAUUGGCUUAAUUCAUCAAAGAAGCAUGAUUCAGGUAUAGGUCACUGCUUAGAAAUCAAGUCCUAGAUCACUCCUUGGAAAUCAAUUUAUGAAGAGAGGGCUCAGCCUUACAGCUGUCCCUGUCAGAACCCCAGACAUUCGAGGGAGUUUAUCCUGCGUGUCCCAGGCUCACUGGGGCUGCCAGCCCAAUGGACCUGAGUGGGUGACUCCAACUGAUGCCAUGAGAAGAACAGCACCCAACUACGCUCAACCAACCUGGAGAAUUGAGCAAAAUAAAUCAAAACAUGCAAAGCCUGCAGAGGUGAACAUUACUUCACAGAAGCGCCUACCACAGAGUGGUGGCUAUUUCCCUUCUCACCAGCAAUUUCAGCUUCCCAGUUGUAGUGUUCAGCUCCGUUUUACAUCAAUAGUGAUUCCAUGCAGAGCCGAAGCUCUGAACGCGAGAAGGGUUGCAGAGCUGGGGCUGAGCCAGGGACCAUGAAAUCUUCAGAGACCUGCCUGAGAAACUGGGUCUCUAAAUCAAUCUUCCAUCAAAUGCUCCACAACGGAGAGAGAAAUGUGCCUAUGUUGGAGGAGGAAGGCUGGAAGAACAGCGGGCAUUAUGCAUGAAAGAUUCCUGGCCUGGGAGCAAAUAAACUUCCAGUUCUUCUCCUGUCUCUGAUACUCACUAGUACAUGACCUUGGACCAGACACUGAUGCACCAGAGCCAUCACUGCUCUCUGCUUUUUAACAGGAAGAUCUUGCUCUUCAUACCCUGCAGUGCUGUUGGUGAAGAUCAACUGAGUAAUCCAUGUGCAAGUGCUCUGAAAACAAUAAAGUGCAUCAUAAAAUAAGCAGCUGAUGAUGAUUAAAGGGUAAAGUACAUAAAGAAAUCUACAUGGAUU